AUUGAACGCUAGCGGGAUGCUUAACACAUGCAAGUCGAGCGGAGUGGCGGACGGGUGAGUAAUAUAUGGGAACCUGCCCAAUAGCGGGGGAUAACUACUGGAAACAGUGGCUAAUACCGCAUACCAUUAGAGCAACCCAUAUGGGAUUAGCUAGUAGGUAGGGUAAAGGCUCACCAAGGCAACGAUCCGUAGCUGGUUUGAGAGGAUGACCAGCCACACUGGGACUGAGACACGGCCCAGACUCCUACGGGAGGCAGCAGUGGGGAAUAUUGGACAAUGGGGGAAACCCUGAUGCAGCCAUCCCGCGUGUAUGAUGAAGGCCUUCGGGUUGUAAAGUACUUUCGGUCGGGAGGCGGUAUCUGCAGAAGAAGCACCGGCUAACUCCGUGCCAGCAGCCGCGGUAAUAC
rnacentral:rRNA from 1 species